rnacentral:hammerhead_ribozyme from 1 species
AUCCAAUUGACGAGUCCUAAAUAGGACGAAACGCGCGUCCUGGAU